rnacentral:rRNA from 1 species
UACGGGGGGGGCAAGCGUUGUUCGGAAUUACUGGGCGUAAAGGGCUCGUAGGCGGCCAACUAAGUCGGAUGUGAAAUCCCCAAGCUUAACUUGGGAACUGCAUCCGAUACUGGAUGGCUUGAAUCCGGGAGAGGGAUGCAGAAUUCCAGGUGUAGCGGUGAAAUGCGUAGAUAUCGUAAGGAAGACCAGUGGCGAAGGCGGGUCUCUGGACAGUUCCUGACGCUGAGGCGCGAAGGCCAGGGGAGCAAACGGG